ACGGCCAUAUCACGUUGAAACACUCGCUCCCGUACUAUCACCGAAGUUAAGCAACAUUGAACCUAGUCAGAACCUAGAUGGGUAACCGCUUGGGAAUACCAGUGC